UUCCGGUUGAUCCUGCCGGACCCCACUGCUAUCGGGAUAGGACUAAGACAUGCUAGUCAAGCGCUUUCUAGCUAAUGUGAGAGCGCGGCGUACAGCUCAGUAACACGUGGCCAACCUGCCCUUGGGACGGGAACACCCCCGGGAAACUGGGGUUAAUUCCCGAUAGGUGAAGAAAUCUGGAAUGAUUCUUCGCUCAAAAGACGUUUAUGUCAUGCUCAUAUUCGUCGCCCAGGGAUGGGGCCGCGACCGAUCAGGUAGUUGGUGAGGCAAUGGCUCACCAAGCCUUUUACCGGUGCGGGCCGUGAGAGCGGGAGCCCGGAGAUGGGCACUGAGACAAGGGCCCAGGCCCCACGGGGCGCAGCAGUCGCGAAAAUUUUGCAAUACACGAAAGUGUGACAGAGCUAUCCCGAGUGCCAUCCGCUGAGGAAGGCUUUUACCCAGUAUAAAUAGCUGGGAGAAUAAGGAGAGGGCAAGUCUGGUGUCAGCCGCCGCGGUAAUACCAGCUCUCCGAGUAGUGUGGACGUUUAUUGGGCCUAAAGCAUCCGUAGCUUGCUAGAUAAGUCCUCUGUUAAAUCCACCGAUUCAAUCGUUGGUUUGCGGGGGAUACUGUUUGGCUAGGGGACGGGAGAGGUCGACGGUAUUUCCGGGGUAGGGGUGAAAUCCUAUAAUCCCGGGAGGACCACCAGUGGCGAAGGCUGUCGACUAGAACGCGCCCGACGGUGAGGGAUGAAAGCUGGGGGAGCGAACCGGAUUAGAUACCCGGGUAGUCCCAGCUGUAAACGAUGCAGGCUAGGUGUUUGGGCGGCCACGAGCCGCCCUAGUGCCGCAGGGAAGCUGUUAAGCCUGCCGCCUGGGGAGUACGGCCGCAAGGCUGAAACUUAAAGGAAUUGGCGGGGGAGCACCACAAGGGGUGAAGCUUGCGGUUUAAUUGGAUUCAACGCCGGG
rnacentral:rRNA from 1 species